rnacentral:rRNA from 1 species
AACGAACGCUGGCGGCAGGCCUAACACAUGCAAGUCGAACGAGAAGCCACCUUCGGGUGGUGGACAGUGGCAGGCGGGUGAGUAACGCGUGGGAACGUGCCUUUCGGUUCGGGAUAACCCAGGGAAACUUGGGCUAAUACCGGAUACGUCCUCCGGGGGAAAGAUUCAUCGCCGAAAGAUCGGCCCGCGUCGGAUUAGCUGGUUGGUAGGGUAAUGGCCUACCAAGGCGACGAUCCGUAGCUGGUCUGAGAGGAUGACCAGCCACACUGGGACUGAGACACGGCCCAGACUCCUACGGGAGGCAGGAGUGGGGAAUAUUGGACAAUGGGCGAAAGCCUGAUCCAGCCAUGCCUCGUGGGUGAAGAAGGCCUUAGGGUUGUAAACCCCUUUCAGCGGGGAAGAUAAUGACGGUACCCGCAGAAGGAGUCCCGGCUAACUCCGUGCCAGCCGCCGCCGUAA